rnacentral:sRNA from 1 species
GAAUGACUUUAUAACUUUUAGACCGUGAUGCCAAACUUGGCAUGUGAUACAUUUUUGGAAAGCCCAAAGAGAGCUUUCCGAUGAAUGAGGAAGCACAAUGGAAUUCUACCAGU